CUUAUCGUACUCGCGAAUGCAUCCAGAUUAUUNUUGAUCAUGGCUCAGGAUGAACGCUGGCGUGCGUGCUACACAUGCAAGUCGAACGUGAGGGCAUACUUGUAUGUCUGAAAGUGGCGAACGGGUGAGUAAUACGUAGGUAACCUGCCUCGGAGUGGGGGAUAACCACUGGAAACGGUGGCUAAUACCGCAUGGGUCUAUUUGAGUGGGAGCUCAGAUGGAUAAAGCUUAAGUGCUUCGAGAGGGGCCUGCGUCCGAUUAGCUAGUUGGUGGGGUAACGGCCCACCAAGGCAGUGAUCGGUAGCUGGUCUGAGAGGAUGAUCAGCCACACGGGAACUGAGAUACGGUCCCGACUCCUACGGGGGGCAGCAGUGAGGAAUAUUGGACAAUGGGGGCAACCCUGAUCCAGCAACGCCGCGUGGAGGAUGAAGGUCUUUGGAUUGUAAACUCCUUUUCUUGGGGAAGAGCAAGGACGGUACCCGAGGAAUAAGUCACGGCUAACUACGUNCCAGCAGCCGCGGUAAUACGUAAGUGGCGAACGUUAUCCGGNAAUUACUGGGGCGUUAAAGCGGCACGGCAAGCGGGGUUUGGAACAAGUCU
rnacentral:rRNA from 1 species